CGGUAGUGGCGGCAGGGG
rnacentral:misc_RNA from 1 species